UGAAUGACUUCCAAGCUUAAACCCACAUUUCAAUAUGGGCUAUUAUGGUAUGGCCUACGAGAGUAUGGACUGAAAUGAGAAAUCAAUUACCCUCCAAAAUCCCUCACGUUGUUCCAAAAUCCAAAAACUCUAAAACCCUCCUUCAACCUCCCAAAAAUUAAAAGCAAACUUUCAUGGCUACCUUCUUCAAAUUUUCACGAAAAUGGCUUCCUUCUCCAUUUUCUCUCUCCUCCAACCUCUCACAUCGUCUACGUUUACCUCUUCUCCAAACGUUUCGCUUCACACCUGAAUCUCCGACUCAAAUUCGCACUCAUUUUUCUGAAUCGAAGGUUCGAUCACCGUUUGAUUCCAACAUUAUCCGAAUACUUCGAAAUGAGGUUGAAUACCAGAAUGAGUAUGCUCCACCUCAUGAGCCUUCUGCAACUUUCAAUUCUUUUUCUGUUGAAGACCGCCCAGGUGAGCAGUUUGUAAGGCUCCGACACAAGUUCAGCGAGAAAGAAGAUAUCAAACUUGAGGCUACUAUGUUUGAUGGUUGUGUAUCUGAACCAAAAGCUGGGGAUGACGCUGAUGGCGAAGAUAUUCGCCUUCACAUAAGUUUGCUGGUAGACAUAUCUAAGGGUGAGGGAUCUGAUGGAUUGGGUUUUGUGUGCUCAGCAUGGCCGGAUGGCUUGGAGAUCAUGAAAGUUUACAUGCUUCGUGAGAACAAAUUGUUGCCUAAAGCUCACAUGGGGCCUAAUACAAGGAACUUGAACCCCAAGCUGCGGAAGGCACUUCAUGAAUAUUUGGAAGCAAGGGGGGUGAAUGCUGAACUUUCUGUUUUCUUGCAUCAAUAUAUGGUCAACAAGGAUAGAACUGAACUUCUGAGAUGGUUAGAAACUGUCAAGUCUUUUGUUGAAAUGUAGAGUGCCAGUUCUGGCUUCCCUGGAGGAUUUAUGUUGAACAGUUGAUUGGGCCACUUUGCUCAAAGGUUGUGAUACAUUGUCAUCCUUUGCAUGGUGGUGUAUUCUUUACCCUCCUGUGAUUCCUCGUUUAAUUGUCAGAAGAAGGUAUAACUCAUUUGUAUAAUGUAGAUAGUACAAGUUUGUUAAUUAUAUUCCUAGAGGGAAGCAUACUUAUGUCCUAACUUAUUAAGUCUCUGACUGAUUGCAAAUUAAUGUAAUGUGUUUAUUUGUUUGUUUAUCAAAUGUGUUAUCUUCUCAUAGCUAGAUUGCUAGUUGCCAAAUAUUCUAAUCGUAGUGGUUGUACUUCCAUCAUGCAUCUUCUUUAGUUUUUAGUCUUAAUCUUAUUUUCUUAAACACUUGAAAAUCUGUGGUGGGAUACUCAUCAAUUUGCACUGAAUGAACCCUUUUUUUAGUUCAAUAAAGACUGUGUAUGUGCAUGUCAGAGUAUUCCCUAGAACAACAAAAAAAAAUAUUAGGAUACUCUGAAACUUCAAGUAGCAGUUUUCCACCUUAUCAACAUUACUAUAUUUUUUAGGAUGGAUUAUUGUGGUAUAUUUUCUAUAGAUUUGAUUAGAAAUACAUCUCUGAAGUGUUUCCCACAGUCUGAUUCAUUUUGUUCUUUUGCAUUUUAAUACUAUUAUGGCAGCUUAGACUUUUACAUGAUUCAGGUUAAAAUCUAUUUGACUGUUUUGACACCAAUAACUUGAUUGAUAUGGUAUUGUGGUUACCUGAUCGAAGUCUAUAUCUGAAACUUGAAAGACUCACAAGAAAGAUGGGUGGGAUAUCAUGGAUGUGACAACAAUUUACAUUGAUGGUCACUAAUAAGGAUGGCAGUGGGGCGGGUCAAGUAGGAGACACGCCCCAUCUUCGCUCAAUUGGGGCAGGUAUAGGUCUAGGUUUGGCGGGGAUGGGGCGGGGAUGAGGAUUAAAAUUGUACCCGCAAUGGUUGGUGGAGCGGGUGUGGAUUUUAUGUUAUACCCGCCUGCCCCGCCUCACCCUCGCCCCUAUUUAUUAUUAAAAUUCUAUUUAUAUACAUAUUACUAAUGUAUUUGAAGACACUUUUAAAAUGUAAUAAAACAUUUGUCUUUGUUAAUGUAUUUUAACUUUUCUUUUACUA